UUAACACAACCGAGCGCAAUAAAUUAAAAAAAGGAAAUUAGAAACCACACACAACUGAAACCAUAAUGAAGUGGAUUGUGAAGACUCUGCAGCAAAAUUGUCCUUCAAAACCUACGAAUCAUCUUUUCAAUAUAUGGUCGAAUUUAUUGGUUCGUUGAUUAUUGCGACAGGUUUUCUUGUAGUUAUGGUAAUUGUCAGAAGUCGUUUUAAAAAUAAUUCAUGCCCCUUUGACCCUUUUUUGCAUUUUGUCACGUUGCAACGAUGAGCUUUGAUGGAUUUUGUUGGUGUUUAUGUCAUAGUGCAAAAACAUAAAAUGGUGGUAAAACGACAUCCUUCUUUUUUAACAAGUUUUUAUUUUUUUCACAAUUUGUGCACAUAUUUGCAAAACAGCUCAAGCUUCGAUGGAUCAAUAACGAUAAUAAAAACAGAUUUUAGUUUCAUUAUAACAAAAUGCGGAGCUUACACAGAAGCACGGAAAGCUUCUCUGAACACCAACCAUACGGUCUUGCCACGGAUUCUCAGUCGUGUGUAGGUCUGGACUUUGACUGGGCCGUUCUAACGCAUGAAUCUGGACUGUUUCAUCGCAGCUCGUGCCACAAAUCAAGUAACGUUUAUUCGCACGCGAGACGUUUUUCCUGUCAAACGUUUUACAAGUAUUGCAUAAAGGAAACAAACUAUAAAAUAAAGUUAAAUCCAAUUAAACAAAAUUAAGUGUUACUCUGCCGUGAAGGUCAGAUUUAUUGACCAUUUCUCUCUCCAGCCUUUCAGCUUAGACUGUCCGCCAUUAAAACAUGUUCAGGCAGACGACUGGAUGACGUUUGAUUGGUUCCACAUGAUUUUAGUUUUGUGUGGGGGUAGCAGUGUAAAAGGAGCUUAAUUAAGAAGUAGGCCAUGCUCUUCAAGUGUUUAUUUGGGGAAACAAAAUGAAAACCAUGUCUUAUUUUCCCUUGACUUCACAUAAAUAUUCAGUUAAGAAACAUUGCAGCCAACUGGAAGCAGUCGUGUGUUUGAAGAGCUCCGGGUUGAUCUACGUCGUCUGCGUUCGCUUGCUGAAUAAAGAGCUGCGUUGCUCGGGAACUUUUUCAAUUCCUCUGAUUAAUUUUGGCCGUCAGCGAUGCUUAAAGGAGCCUAACGGAUCGCUGUGGCUUUACAGAUUUAUGGCGAUUAUGUAAGCGCUGCUCUUUAGCCGAAUAAACAAAUAAUUCAUCACUUCCAAGAUGAACAUCGGCUACCUGCAGCCCGACCUCGGUGGCGUUUAUGAACAGGAACGUGGCGGAGUGUUGUUUCCAUGGCGCCCGCUGACGGUAACAGAGAGAGAGGAACCCCGAGGGGUUCGGGGGGGUUGAUUAAAGUUUCACAAUCACUGGUGGACCCAAUUUGCUCCCUGUGUCAAAGGGAUAUAGUGGUUAUGGCUGUUGCCGUGGCGACCCUGGAGUGGGACGAGUCCCAGGAGGCCCUAGAGGUGUGAGAGAUGAAAGGUUAAAGAGGCCUAAAUUAGAUUCAAUCAAGGUGAAGUUAAGGUUGUUGUUGGAGGAUGGGCAGCUUUCGUGGUAUAUAACCGGAGAUAUGAUUGAAAUCGGAUCAUUUCUAUCAAUACACUCCAUUUUUUAUAAUUCAAAAAUGACAUAUCCAUCGAAUCAGAGACUCCUCACAGGAUUUAUGAAUCAAACAAGCGCUUUCUCCUGCUGCGGAGGAUGAGAGGAUGAGAUGGCCGCCAUUGGUACGACAGCAGGCGGACAUGUUUAUAACGUUGUUACGAUAAGUAGAAAGAGGCUGUCAGCCUGUUAAAGGCUCCUCUUACAGUAUGUACAUAAUAUUCUGAUACCUUUUCACUAGUUUGUGUGUCUUGUUUUCAUCUCAGUUAUGCUUACAGAUUUGUGGCUUUAGGUAAAUAACGCUCCAGUAUGCAGGGCCGGAGUUACAAGGAUAUGGGCCCCCGAGUUGCUGGUAGUUUGUUGUUUUGUUUGCAAUGUUUUAUUGCUUGUUUUCAGCUUUGUUAAUCUUUUAAAAAAAGUACAUAUUAAUUUGUCCAAAUAUGUUAGAAAAACACAAACUUUCAUAGAACUUACAGACUAUGUCACAUUUGGCACAACUGUAGUUUCAGCAGAUUUGUUGGCGUAUAAAAAUGCUGAUCCAAGAGAUUUUCUCUUAACUUUUCCCCUUUAUUACAGCACAGAAAUAAUUUAGAAAUGAGAGUAAAGUAGAAAAUAAUCAAUAAAAAGUGUAUUUUUUCAAUGAAUAACAUAUUCGAAACCAGAUAUUUGCAUACACCAAAGACACAGACGCACUUUUUUCUCACCGUGUGAAGUUAAGUUGGGCCAAACUUCUUGGUUUAGCUUAACUAGAAUUACCGACAGGACUUCUAUUUGCUUAGGAUAAUAAUAAAAAUUAUUUUGGAAAUCAUUUGGUGUAUGUAAAUGUCUGGUUUCGACCGUAACUAGAAUUUACACCUCGCUCUUGAUGAAGCCGUCUUCUCGACCGUUCUAAAACGUUCCGUAGAAAUCCAAGCACUUGUUUUUAAGGCUGUUCUCUCCCAAACAUCAACAUAAAAUCUGGUGUCGGUACGUCAGCAGGGUUCUGGACAACACCCUCUUCGUUUUCCACAAGUGCUCCGUCAGCUCUUCCAAUGCAGCCAGGGCAGCCUAAUCAAGAAUUCAUGCAGCUGCAAUUUCUGCUCUAAAUGCAUCGUUUUACAUUUAAAACUUGAUGGGG